UCUGAAGUCUGACGAGGAUGAGAACCUCCGGGGGCAAGAGGUUCGACUCGAGCGAAGCGAGAGAACGUUGCGUCAGCAACGGCCCGCAGGGCGAGCCACGCAGUGGCGAGUCAUCCUCUAUCACCGACCA
rnacentral:sRNA from 3 species